rnacentral:rRNA from 1 species
UACGAAGGGGGGCUAGCGUUGCUCGGAAUCACUGGGCGUAAAGGGGUGCGUAGGCGGGUCUUUUAAGUCAGGGGUGAAAUCCUGGAGCUCAACUCCAGAACUGCCUUUGAUACUGAAGAUCUUGAGUCCGGGAGAGGUGAGUGGAACUGCGAGUGUAGAGGUGAAAUUCGUAGAUAUUCGCAAGAACACCAGUGGCGAAGGCGGCUCACUGGCCCGGUACUGACGCUGAGGCACGAAAAGGCGUGGG